GACCUGGUAGUGUAUGGUAACACACCUGUUGGACGUGACGUGAGGGUAUGCAAUGCAUGAUUUGGCAGGAGAACCUCGUUCGAUUCGGGGCCAGGUCA